rnacentral:sRNA from 1 species
AGGAUGUUACUUUUGAUUGUUUGUGUAGAGCUGGUGCUGUGGUGGCUAAGUAUGGAGACAAAAGUGUAUACUUUGAUUUAGAAGAUUUGGGUAACACAACAGGACAAUGGGAUGUGUAUGGAUCUGAUGCUCCUUCUCCUUAUAACCCACUUCA